UAACCUCUGUAGGUUGGCCAGUCCCCAGGCUGAGCUGGGCAAGUAUCUCUUUGAAAGGCUCACCCUUAAGUACAACUAGGAGC
rnacentral:pre_miRNA from 1 species